GUAUAGUCAAUGUGUGGAUAAGAUGGUAGAAAGUGAUGGCAGAAGCUCUCAAUUAGAAGGCAGAGGUCAGGGAAUGAGGAGGAUUUUCCUAGUGUUUCCAAGUCAUAUCUCAGAUUGUGAAGGUUGGGAAACACAGAUUUAGGGAAGAAAAGUGUAUUCCUAAGGAGCUGGAAUUCUCUCACACUAAUCAUUUCCAUUCAAAGUCUAGGAUUCUUAGAUUUUAAGAGGCCAUGUUACCUAAUUACCAAUGUCAAUAAGACAUUGCCUGUCCCUGUUUCUGGACCAAAUGUGGAGUCUUGAGCAGCUGGAGGGAACUUGCAGGUCCACCGCUCCUGGUAGAUGAUUGCUGGUAAGUUCUUCUUUAAGAAGACCAAGCGUUCUGAAGGGAUGCAGGUGGAUAAGAAAGUACUCUGAAAGCAACUUUCAGUGUUAACCUUGAAUCAGUUGACUUGGACAAUUACUUGGACAUAAUAAUGGUUCACUACUAUUGCUGAGUACAGUCACUGUGUGCCAAACACUAUUUAUCACGUAAUCACCCCAUUUAAAUGUUACAAUAACCUGAUAAAUUAGACAGUUUUUAGAUGAGGAAAAUGAAGCUUACUAAGUUAAGUGGUUUGCUAUGUGACUAGUGCAUUCUCUUGGCAAAACUCUAUUAGCCUUCGCCCUGCUUCAUUCUGUACUCCAAGGCCAAAUUUACCUGUUACUCCAGGUGUUUCUUGACUUCCUACUUUUGCAUUCCAGUCCCUAUAAUGAAAAGGACAUCUUUUUUGGGUGUCAGUUCUAGAAGGUCUUGUAGGUCUUCACAGAACUGUUCAACUUCAGCUUCUUUAGGAUUACUAGUCGGAGCAUAGACUUGGAUUACCGUGAUACUGAAUGGUUUGACUUGGAAACGAACAGAGAUCAUUCUGUCGUUUUUGAGAUUGCACCCAAGAAAUGCAUUUUAGACUGUUUUAUUGAACAUAAGGGCUACUCCAUUUCUUCUAAGGGAUUCUUGCCCACAGUAGCAGAUAUAAUGGUCAUCAGAGUUAAAUUCACCCAUUCCAGUCCAUUUUAGUUUGGUGAUUCCUAAAAUGUUGACAUUCUCUCUUGCCAUCUCCUGUUUGACCAAUUCCAAUUUGCCUUGAUUCAUGGACCUAACUGCCGGAGUCCAGUUCCAGCAGCCAGGGGAUCAGCCUGAGGAGAUGAGCAGUGUCGGCAGGAAAUGAUGUAGCCUCUGACUCCAGCUACCAUGUGGGAUCUUACCUCCCAAGCUGGGAUUCAACCUGUAUCCCCUGCAUUGGAAGGCGAAGUCUUAACCACUGAGUCACCUUGAUUGAUUGACUGGGAAUUCACCACUGGAAGUCACCGUGAUUGACUGAUUCAAGGGGAAGUCUCAUUGGUUCUUAAUUAUACCCAGUAGAGACAUAACCUGUUGGGAGAUAGUUCCAAACCAUCUUCCAUGUGUUUGUUCAUCUUAGGAGAAGAGGCACCGAUCACCUCUGUUUUGGACUAUCUUUUCCAGCAUGUCUGUAUGGGGAAGAGUCUUGAAAGCUAGGAAUUGUGUCCUCUGAAACAAAAGUCAGGCAGGCUUAUUAUCUAGCAUAGUAAAGUGAGUAAGACAGUGUUUCCCUUUGGAUGGAGGGCCAGACAAGCUUACUGCACAUUAUAAAAGAUUUGGGUUCCCACACCCAGAGUCCCUCUCCCGAAACACAACCUGUUGUGUAUUCAGGUGUGAACUGACCCUUUUUGAAUCACCCCAUGGGAAUUUGGGCUUAGAGAACUGACAAAAAUGUUAAUACUCUAACAAUUGCUGUUGCUGUGAGUAGUAAAUUGGCCUUUGUCUUUGACACAGGAGUCUUAUGUGUCAUACCAAUAUCCAUUAAACUGUGACC
ensembl:lncRNA